rnacentral:tRNA from 1 species
GAGCCUGUGGCUCAAUGGUAAAGCGUUCGAUUCAAAAACAAAAGGUCGCUGGUUCGAAUCCCAGGUGUG